AGAGAGGAUACACCUGUUCCCAUUCCGAACACAGAAGUUAAGCUCUCUAGCGCUGAUGGUACUUGGUGGGAAACUGCCUGGGAGAGUAGGACAUAGCCAGGUG
rnacentral:rRNA from 1 species